rnacentral:tRNA from 1 species
GGAGAGGUCGCCUAGUGGUUUAGGGCGGCGGUUUGCUAAACCGCUGUCCCGCUAAAGCGGGACCGGGGGUUCGAAUCCCCCCCUCUCCG